rnacentral:sRNA from 1 species
ACGCUCAAUAUGCUAUCUCCUGGGACAGCCAGAGCCCCCAGCACCUGGCACUGCCCUGCCAGCCCCUGACCGGAAGCGCUUCUCCCUGCAGAGCUAUGCGGAUUAUAUCAGUGCCGAUGAACUGGCCCAAGUGGAACAGAUGCUGGCGCACCUGACCUCUGCAUCUGCCCAGGCAGCAGCUGCCUCCCUGGUGAGUGGGACCACGGUGCACAGGUCCAUGCCAGUUGAAUAUGUGUGCACUCCUACAUAGGCACAACGGACAUCCACAUAGCCAGGCAUCCAACUCCAGCCCACCCUUCACUCUCCUCCCUGCAGCCCACCAGUGAGGAGGACCUCUGCCCCAUCUGCUAUGCCCACCCCAUCUCUGCUGUGUUCCAGCCCUGUGGCCACAAGUCCUGCAAGUAAGUGGGCCCCACAGCUUGGUGGUGGGGAGAGCAGUAGGUACAUGCAGGGCAGUCCUCAUCCCCUCCCCUGUUGUAGGGCCUGUAUCAACCAGCACCUGAUGAACAACAAGGACUGCUUCUUCUGCAAAGCCACCAUCGUGUCUGUAGAGGACUGGGAGAAGGGAGCCAAUACGAGUACUACCUCCUCAGCUGCCUAGCCCUCACAGCCUGCGCCAUCCUGGAACCUCCACUUUUGAACCCAAAGCCAGGCUGGGCCCUAUUUAUGAGCUCCCUUUGCCCUUCUCCUGUAUCCCCCACCACCACAUCCAACCUCCUUGCCUGCCUGUAUCCUCAUUGGCGGGAGCCCAGCCAUGGCCCUAAUUGUGCCUGAGCUUGACUUUCAGUCAGGGCCACAGUGAGCAUUAAAUUAUUAUUCCAUACA